GGGACAAGCCCGAGCUCUCCCUCCCCCUUACUUUUUCUUUUGCCGCCGGCCUUCUCCCACAAAAUUCAUCGCCGUCCGGCCACCACAGGACGAACCGCUUGGCAUGGCGUGAUCCUCUCCUCCUUCUCUACCUAGUCAUGACGUACUGAUCCCUCGAGCGAGGAGGACACGGGCAGGCAGCAGGGUUAGCUGCGAGACUCACCUAUUUCAGUUUGGCCGAGAUCGCGUCCAGGAACUAGAGGCAUUGGAGUCAGCGCUUCCGUUUUGGCUGUAGGUUAAUACUUAACCUACCUUGUAUGAUAUCGGCUUAGUUAUGUAGUACUGCUCUGAUAACUUUUUUUUAAUUUGGGGAAUGCUAAUGUUUGAGAAUCUGUUAUAGUAUUGAAGUUAAUGUGGAAUUCGUACUUCCUGAAUGUAACUUAUACACGUGGAAUGUAAAUAUUGGAUUGUGCAUGUG